rnacentral:lncRNA from 1 species
CUUAGAUUUAUAUAGUGCUUUAUCACACAUGCAGCCAGGCAACUCCAGGCAUUUUUCUAAAAUGGAAAGCAUUUCCUUUUAGGCCUCUAAAAAAAUCCUUAUUAAACAACAACAACACCAAAGACUAACUUGAAGAUGUAAAUGAAUAGGAGGAAAAGUGUGUUUUUAUUCUAAAUUAAGGCUGUAGGUAUACCACAAAGUGAUGGCAUCCACGGCCGUAUGGAUUGGCUGCUGAGAAGACACCACUGCAGUGGGGGAGGCACAACCUGGGCUGUGCACUCUGCGGAGCCCACAGGAGCUGGAAACAGAAACACUACUUGCUGCUGCUAGGUCAGAAACAGAAAACUGGAAAUAUCUCAGAUACAGCUUGGCUGAAGCAAUAGAGAAAAAAAUUCCUAUGAAGUAGAGAGAGAGAAAAGAGAGGUGUUUUGUCAGUUGCUCAAUCCUAUACCAUCAUAACUGACAGCUCCACAACAGUGGUAGAGCCCAUUCAUUCCAAG